AAAUAAGAAGCGAUAGAUUGCAGUUAGUUUCGACCUAACCUUAGGUGUUUACAUCCUUAUUUA
rnacentral:tRNA from 1 species